rnacentral:rRNA from 1 species
GCUACUGCCAUCAGAGUUCGAUUUAGCCAUGUUAGUCGAGGGUGCUUCUUCUUCGGAAGAAGUAACCCGGCGGACGGCUCAGUAACACGUGGAUAACUUGCCCUUGGGUCUGGGAUAACCCCUGAGAAAUUGGGGACAAUACCAGAUAGGGCAUCGAUAGCUGGAAUGCGCGAUGUCCAAAAGCUGAGGCGCCCAAGGAUAGGUCUGCGGCCGAUUAGGUUGUUGUUGAUGUAAUGGAUCAACAAGCCUGCAAUCGGUACGGGUUGUGAGAGCAAGAGCCCGGAGAUGGGUUCUGAGAAAAGAACCCAGGUCCUACGGGACGCAUCAGGCGCGAAAACUUUACAAUGUGCGAAAGCACGAUAAGGGAACUCUGAGUGCCUCCUAUGGAGGCUGUUCAGGUGUCUAAAAAGCACUUGAAGUAAGGGCUGGGUAAGACCGGUGCCAGCCGCCGCGGUAACACCGGCAGCCCAAGUGGUAGCCACGAUUAUUGGGUCUAAAGCGUCCGUAGCCGGCCAGGUAAGUUCUUUGGGAAAUUUAACCGCUCAACGGUUAAGCUUUCAGGGAAUACUGCUUGGCUUGGGACCGGGAGAGGUCAGAGGUACUUCAAGGGUAGGGGUGAAAUCCGUUAAUCCUUGAGGGACCACCAGUAGCGAAGGCGUCUGACCAGACCGGGUCCGACGGUGAGGGACGAAGGCUAGGGUCGCGAACCGGAUUAGAUACCCGGGUAGUCCUAGCUGUAAACGAUGCGGGCCAGGUGUUGGCAUUACUGCGAGUGAUGUCAGUGCCGAA